GAUGAACGCUGGCGGCGUGCCUAAUACAUGCAAGUCGAGCGAACGGACGAGAAGCUUGCUUCUCUGAUGUUAGCGGCGGACGGGUGAGUAACACUUGGAUAACCUACCUAUAAGACUGGGAUAACUUCGGGAAACCGGAGCUAAUACCGGAUAAUAUUUUGAACCGCAUGGUUCAAAAGUGAAAGACGGUCUUGCUGUCACUUAUAGAUGGAUCCGCGCUGCAUUAGCUAGUUGGUAAGGUAACGGAUUACCAAGGCAACGAUGCAUAGCCGACCUGAGAGGGUGAUCGGCCACACUGGAACUGAGACACGGUCCAGACUCCUACGGGAGGCAGCAGUAGGGAAUCUUCCGCAAUGGGCGAAAGCCUGACGGAGCAACGCCGCGUGAGUGAUGAAGGUCUUCGGAUCGUAAAACUCUGUUAUUAGGGAAGAACAUAUGUGUAAGUAACUGUGCACAUCUUGACGGUACCUAAUCAGAAAGCCACGGCUAACUACGUG
rnacentral:rRNA from 1 species